AAAACUGUGAUCAUCUUUUGCACCGCAACAGAUCAUAGCAGAUAUGCUGCAUGUUUCUUAACUAACAUGGAGUACAAUGGACUCCACCACACAGAUCAAGAAGGAAGUUUUGCUAUGCAGGGGAGGUCAAAGAAGAAACUCAAGGAAAUGUGAAGAAUAGUAUUUAUGUGUACCCCAUGGGCAGUUUGUCCGCUUAGAAACACACAAGUUUUGAGAUUAUGUUUCUCAGGUCCUUCAAAAAUAUCGCUGGGUGUAUAUCGGAUCUCCAAAAGUUAUUCGUUCUGGAAGGUUCUGACAUGGGUGUGGUAAUAUUUUUGGUCCACAUGCACUAGAAUCAUGGGUUCUUCAUACCUGACGUCUAGUAUCUGAUGGAUCCUAAAGGCUUCCUCGCUUAUCUCGGUCUCAAGGAUGUGCCUGUAUUGCAACAAUGGAUGCCAUCCUUUCGGCAGUUUAGAAGCAUAUGGAAGCAAAAAUCUUUGCUAAGUGCAUUAUGGUGACAGUGGUCAUGAUGAAGAGGUGGAAUUAGAAGAGUUUAUGACCAUAUCAGCAGGUACCUCAUCUGGCUUUUGGGUGAUCCACCACUGCAUCAUAUCUACAAGGAGCAAGAUAUCUUAGCAGAUAGAUUAGCAUGUAUGGUUUCAGCUACAAAUUUGGGUAGUGAAAAUACAACAUUUUGGAAUCCUCCUCCUCAAUUUUACUAGAUGUUUUGUUGGACGACCAAGUGGGAAGGAUGCACACAAGACAAAUAGCUUCGACAAUAUACUCUUGUGGUGGGGCCCUUCCCUGAAUCCUACGCAUCGCGGGAACUUUACUGCACAGGCAACUGGAGAAGCAACCACAAAUGACCAGGAGAUGUUAAUGGGAUCAAAUUUUGCAACACAUGCUCCCGCUACCUCUACUAUACCAAGUACUACUAAUAGUUGUGUGGUACCAACUGUUAGGCCACCCUUAUCUUUAAGCUACUAUUAUAGGGUCAUGGUUAAUCAUUAACACUGUUAUCACUUGUUACGAUUAUAGGUUUUUUAUUAUGUCAAAAGCUAUUAGUUGAUAACAUAUAUGUAACUUUAUUUCUUAAUCAAAUUCAUCAAGCAA